UACGUAGGUGGCAAGCGUUAUCCGGAAUUACUGGGCGUAAAGAGCGCGCAGGUGGUUGAUUAAGUCUGAUGUGAAAGCCCACGGCUUAACCGUGGAGGGUCAUUGGAAACUGGUCGACUUGAGUGCAGAAGAGGGAAGUGGAAUUCCAUGUGUAGCGGUGAAAUGCGUAGAGAUAUGGAGGAACACCAGUGGCGAAGGCGGCUUCCUGGUCUGUAACUGACACUGAGGCGCGAAAGCGUGGGGAGCAAACAGGAUUAGAUACCCU
rnacentral:rRNA from 1 species